rnacentral:rRNA from 1 species
UACGUAGGUGGCAAGCGUUGUCCGGAUUUACUGGGCGUAAAGAGCGCGCAGGCGGUCGUUCAAGUCGCGUGUGAAAGCCCCCGGCUCAACUGGGGAGGGUCACGCGAUACUGAUCGACUCGAAGGCAGGAGAGGGUAGUGGAAUUCCCGGUGUAGUGGUGAAAUGCGUAGAUAUCAGGAGGAACACCCAUGGCGAAGGCAGCAAACUGGGCCGUAUCUGACGCUGAGGCGCGAAAGCGUGGGUAGCAAACAGG